rnacentral:rRNA from 1 species
AACGAACGCUGGCGGCAUGCCUAACACAUGCAAGUCGAACGAGACCUUCGGGUCUAGUGGCGCACGGGUGCGUAACGCGUGGGAACCUGCCCUUAGGUUCGGAAUAACUCCCCGAAAGGGGUGCUAAUACCGGAUAAUGUCUUCGGACCAAAGAUUUAUCGCCUUUGGAUGGGCCCGCGUUGGAAUAGCUCGUUGGUAGGGUAAAAGCCUACCAAGGCGACGAUCCAUAGCUGGUCUGAGAGGAUGAUCAGCCACACUGGGACUGAGACACGGCCCAGACUCCUACGGGAGGCAGCAGUGGGGAAUAUUGGACAAUGGGCGAAAGGAUGAUCCAGCAAUGCCGCGUGAGUGAUGAAGGCCUUAGGGUUGUAAAGCUCUUUUAACCGGGAUGAUAAUGACAGUACCGGGAGAAUAAGCUCCGGCUAACUCCGUG